rnacentral:misc_RNA from 1 species
GUGAAAGAUGUGCUCUUUGAACCUGUUCGUAAGACUCAGGAUGCAAUGUUCUUCUUUAAUACUUCUGAUGAUAUGUGGGUACCCUGUGGACCUAAGCAACCUGGCGCUGUCCAAAUUACUAUGCAAGAGCUGGCAGCAAAGGAACUCGCCUCAAAGAUUCUUCCUCCCCCAAUUUCAAGAACAGAUUUUGACAAGGUUUUGGCUAGACAAAGGCCUACAGUGAGUAAAUCUGAUCUUGCGGUACAUGAAAGGUUUACAAAAGAGUUUGGAGAAGAAGGU